AGAGAAGUUUUCAAUUUCAGACGACCUUGCUGUUACAGUUACAGAUGAAACUGGUACAGAGGUGGAUAAAGAUGUGUUUCCUGAUCUAAUGUCCACCAGUGGGUUGGUUGUAGUCAUAAAUGAGUUGACUGACAUUGGAUCUUCCACACCUCAGUCUUCAGUCAGCUUGGAUACAGAUACACUGUCUCUAACUUCAAAAAGCAGUGAAGAGAGUGACUGGUUUAGUCCAAAACGAUUCAGAAAGGAUGAUGAUGAUGAUGUGGCAUCACAACGAGCACAGGCCAGAGAUCUGAUAAAACAAAUUCUACAGACA